UUAGUAGGUCAGUACUUACAUGCUUUUAUAGGCCUGUAAUCGGUCAAUUCCGUAAUUAUAUGAUUUCUAAAAAUUUUAAACGUGUGGGAAAAACGGUGAUCUGUUGGGAAAUUAUAUGGAUGUAUGAGGGAAACCUGAGAGACAGUAUCUGGCACCAUUGGGAUUUACUACUAGUUCCCGCCAUAGAAAAGAGUUGAAGUCUGAAGAUAAUGUAUGGAGUGUGCUGCUGCUAGCAGUCUGUGUGGCUCUUAAUUUCUUCUGAAACUGUGCUGGUGGUGGUGGUGUUUGAGUUGAAAGUACUAAAAACGUUAAGGGUAACGGUUGUAGCAACGUUGCUUAAUCUGGUACCGUACAGGGACAUAAGAUAUCGUCGUGCAUAUUACCAAGAAACGAUAAUAUAGCAAACGUGCUUGCGAAAUUUGCUCAUACUGGCUGUUUUACUUUACAUUUCAAUGAGAGAGAGAUGUUGUGGGCAGAUAAUGCUCUGUGAUGCUGAUCCUGCCUAUUGUUGAUAGCAGUGGAACUUUAAAGAAGAAAGACAAGGUGAUGCAUCAGGCAAUUACGGCCCGGGAAAGGCUUGCUGUUACACUGAGUUUCCUAGCGACCGGAAACACUUACAAAUAUUUGGCCUAUUCUACACGAAUAGCGAACAACACGCUCUCCCGAAUGAUACCAGAGAUUUUGACGGCCAUAACAAGAGAGUUUGGAGAUAAUGCGAUACAGCUUCCUGUUUCUCCUGCUGCUGCUGCUGCUGCUGCUGCUGCAGUUUGAGGUACCUCUUGUGGAACCUAAAGUCAAAAAUUUACUGGUUUCAGAUGCCAGUGACUAAAGAUGAAUGGUGUGCAACAGAAACUGUGUUUAGCCACUCUCCCCGUCCCCCAUCAUAUGCAUCUGUGGAUGAUAAUGGCUGCCAAGGCAGAAUUUCAGAUGGAGGUGUCUUUAAUAAUGCAUUUAGAAGUAGAGUUCAGGUGGAGAAGAAAACUAAACUUCCCACAGGAAUGUUUACCUGGAGGGACAAAGCCAUGACCUUCUGCAUUCAGGGCAAAUGAAGACCUUCCAUUGCAAGAAAACAUGAAGCCCUUUCCAGGGAAGUACAACCAGGGAUCAAAUAAGAGUGUCUUUAACUAUCUACUGUCUACGGUGAGGAUGGUUGUGAGAAAAACAUUUGGUAUUAUGGCCUCAGUAUUUCGUGUGUUCUGUAAACUAACCAGAGAAGCCACAAACCAUCACUGUCAGCUGUUUGUUUAUGCAGUUUUUUGAGGAGGAAUGCAGAGUGAGGGGCUGUUACAGCCUGCCAGCUAACUUGGAUUUGUAAUUACUUAAGGGGCUCCGGAAUGCCCUAUACUUGCAAUGUUAAAAUAACUCUUAUAAAUUAAAUCUUUCCUCACAAAGUAUUUGAGGUAGGAAGUUGAACUUUUUAGAUUAUUUAUUGGAAUAUGGGCUACAACUUAACACAGGGAUUUUACAAAAUUUUAGUUCAGUUAUUAAAGAUGAUUAUUUUUCAAUUGUAAUGAAA